AUGGCCAUGGACCAAGCUCUGCCAGACCUUCUCUCGCGACUUCCGGCCUUCCUCUCGACCAGAUCGACGACGGGACGCCCAGAUCCGAGUCAUCUGACACGACGCCGUUCGUUUCCGGCUUGCCUAGCCGCACUGAGCAUCCGAACCACCUCCCCAGACAGCGCCGCCAUCGUCGCCAAGGCGGCGCCGGUCUCGGCCACGGCGCAGGAGGUGUCGUCAUCACCGUCCUUGUCAUCAUCUGGCUGGGCCGUCGACGAUCUCCUGCAGUUCUCCCUACGGGCACCGUCGACGGCACUGAUAGUCUAUCACAAAUCAAUCAGGGAUAAGAAAAGCGAGGUGCAACUCAAGCGAAUAAACAGUAGAAGAAUGAAGAAGUAA
rnacentral:rRNA from 1 species